rnacentral:rRNA from 1 species
AGGACGAACGCUUGCGACGUGCCUAAGAAAUGCAAGUCGAACGGAUCAGCAGCAAUGCUGGUUAGUGGCGAACGGUCGCGUAACACGUGGGCAACCUGCCCUGAAGCGGGGGACAACAGCUUGAAAGAGCUGCUAAUACCGCAUGUGAAUCGGUGUGGCAUCGCACAGGAUUCAAAGCCUUCGGGCACUUCAGGAUGGGCCCGCGGCCUAUCAGCUUGUUGGUGAGGUAACGGCUCACCAAGGCUUCGACGGGUAGCUGGUCUGAGAGGACGAUCAGCCGGAUUGGGACUGAGAUACGGCCCAGACUCCUACGGGGGGCAGCAAUUAGGAAUCUUGCGCAAUGGGCGAAAGCCUGACGCAGCGACGUCGCGUGAAGGAUGAAAUCUUUCGGGAUGUAAACUUCUUUAACAGGGAAGAACAAUGACGGUACCUGUUGAAUAAGCCCGGCUAACUACGCGCCAGCAGCCGCGGU